UUUCCAAGUUAAACAGAAGAUACAUAUGGGAGAUUCAUAGACAAAGAGUUGCCAAUUAUGUUACAAAGUGGAUUAUACCUGUAAGUGGAUCUCACUAAGCAUCUUUACACUAAAACAUGGUGUUGAGGUUCUGGAUGUAAAGUGGAAGAGUCCAUCAUCUCAGAGUAAGCUUAUGUUUAGGCUGUGAAAAAUGAAGGCUUGAAGAACAACAGCCUUAGAGAAAAGAAGACCAUGAAGUAAUCUUGUGUAUGUAUUAAAGAAUCAGCAAUAUAAUCAUUAUGACCUAAAUGAGUAGACUGAGUGGCAGAUCUAUUUCACUGAAUGGUAAUAUAAGAAAAGAUAUCUGCCUAGCAAUAAUUGUCUCCUUGACAUCUCCUUUUUCUUUUUAUUAACCACAUCUUUGGGAGUGAUUUAGAGGUAGCUGAAACCAACUAGCCUGGGCUGAACAGUUUCUGUAUUGCCCAGACCAUCUUGUUUCUCAAGGCUGCCUUUCGUUUUGGUUAAUGAGAAAGCAUAUGGUUGCCAUUUCCUUUCUGAGAACUGCUGAGUUAGUAGGGAAGGAAGUAGAUGUUCAGCUGAGUUCUGUCCUGUGGGGGAAGGGAAGGGCUGAGCCACAGCUUGGAGUACCAGCUUCUGCUUUUGUGGGGCUUGAUUUUCUGUGUCUGAUUUCUUUUUAUAAAAUGUUCAUAUAAUUAGCCUGAACAGCCCAACCUAAUCCCUUUUCUGGGGGCAAAUGAUUGAGAGUUGAGUGGCAAACUUUCUUUGCCCAAACUCUUGGCCGUAACUCUUAACAUUCUUAAUUGGUUUCCUGUCUAUUCUUAAUCUUUUGAAGAUCUUGUCAAACCUUAAAAAAAAAAAAAAAGAGCUCUGCCUUAAAUAUUGCUUCUGUGAGAAUAUUUUGCCUGUUUAAGAAAAUACAGCUUUGAGUACAAUCCAAUUGAAGUGUCAAGUCCUGCCAGAUAACCAUGGUAGAAUUAGAGCUUCUGAGCUGGAUUGGGAUUGAGGUUGGACGCUGGCUCUGCCAUUAACUGGCAUGUUUCAUCAUUUGUUUUAUUUGAUGUUGAAAUUAUGCUUAUAAUUUUAUUUUACACCACUUUCCAGUAUGACAUCAGUGUCUUUGGCACCUUGGGCUUUAUUAGUUCAUGAAAUGGAAGCUUCUGUUUCCUUAAAAAUGCCUUGACUCUCUUGCUAAUGUUGUGAUAAUGUUUCCAACUCUUUCUAGGGCUAUAAUAUCUAUGCUGCUUGUUUGCAAAUACUUGGGAAGUGGUGGUUGAUCUAAAGAUACUCAGAAAGAAUGGGGAGAAAAUUAAGGCUUCUGACACUUUUCCCAACAUUUCUGUUAUCAUCACCAAGAAUUAACUAGAUGAUUCUUUAAUGCCCCACUACUUUAUUCUGCUAUUUUAUUUCUUCAGUCUGUUUUUGACUCUUAUAAUGACACCACUGGAAGUUAAGUCUAAACAUUACCUUUAGGCUGGAGAGCUCUGGGGUCAAGAUUGACUAGAUUUAAAACCCAGCUCAGCCAUUCUCUAGCUAUCUGGUCUCUGGUGAGUUCCAUCGCCUGUAAAACGGGGAUUAAAAAGGGGAAAAUACUGAGUAUGUACUAUUUGCUAGGCACUAGUUGGACAAUUUAUGAUCCAUUUAAUCAAUCUUCUGCUAGGCAGGGAUCCCCAUUUUAUUAUGGUUAAAAAGCUGUAAUAAAAGCCAAUUGACCUAAAGCUCUCACAAGUAAAUAGCUGGAGCCCAGGUUUGUCUCUAAAGCACAUGCUCUUUUCACUACGCGACAUAAAAAAAACUUUAUUAAUCUUUUUUUCCAGAUUAUGUUUCAAGGGUUCCCACUGCUGUUGAAUAAUUAAUUCCUUUUAGAUGUACAAAAGCAAGUGCAAAGUAAAAGAAGAAAAGCUAAAUGGGGAAGGUGUGUAAUAUGAGAGGCAGGGGGUAAGGAAAAAUGAGAAGUCUGCAAAGGAAUUUACGUCCUAUCUGCUUAGCAUUACACAGUGGAAGCCCACGUCAGACAUUUGUGUUGCAGUCCUGCCUGCUCAGGGGUUGCUGGGUGACCUUCUGCAAAUUACCUCAUCUUUCUGGGUUUCAAUUUAAGUAUGCCUGAAAUGAGGCGGUUGAAUUGAUCUCCAAAUUCCCUUCUGGUGCUAAACUUCCAGCCUUGUAGCCACUGACGCCUUCACCAUCCCAGCCUGUUUUCCCUUGGUACCGGACCAGCUGCCCUUGCCCGAACCCUGUUCUUCCUCGACUGCGAACUUUCUAACGUACUCACAGGUUCUAAACUCUACCGUUCCUCGUGACCGAGGGACUAAAGGGCCCGGGCAGGGGCUCAACUCUGAGAGAAAAAAAGGCAAGAAAACUCCAAAGUUGGACAGCAAGCGUCAAAAGACUGCACAGCAGGAAGGCGAAACCGAACAGAACUGCUGCUGCGCGGCGACAGCUGAAGUGGGU
rnacentral:lncRNA from 1 species